CAACUCCGGUGUGUAGGAAAGGGAUUACUCCUCUCUCCUAAGGUCUCCUCCUAGAGUAGGGGCGGGCUCGAAGAAGACGGUGGAGCUGUGGUGUGCUGGGGCGACGGUAGUCUCUGUGACUACUCGGCGGCGGCAGAGGGUUCAGCGGACGGCUGGAGGCGGAGGAGAGGAAUAAGAGGGUAGAGAGAAGAGAGCAUAGACUGGAAAGAGGGGCCACGUCGAAGGUGGAGGGACGUCUAGGUGUGAAACAGCCCGCCUCCCUCGGAGGUCGUAGCGACCCUCGUUACCGGGUACGGGCCGCCGUGACUCCACCGUGUAGUGUUAUACUUCGUGGCGAGGGCUAGGUAUCUAGGUACCACCAAUCACCGGGCCUCUCAUUGAGGGGCCACGUCGAAGGUGGAGGGACGUCUAGGUGUGAAACAGCCCGCCUCCCUCGGAGGUCGUAGCGACCCUCGUUACCGGGUACGGGCCGCCGUGACUCCACCGUGUAGUGUUAUACUUCGUGGCGAGGGCUAGGUAUCUAGGUACCACCAAUCACCGGGCCUCUCACUAAAAUUCAACGGCGGAGAAAAACAGGUCCCUAAACCAACUGCGCAAACUACACACAAGGUUAAGCUCAGGGAUAUUUAUUAGCUCCCAGAAAGAGGAUCAAGAAAGGAAGGGAAAAUGAAGAAACAGUGCAGAGUACAGCAAACUCUACGUCAACAGGAGUUUCGUUAAAAGAAGGAAAUAAAGAGACAGUGCAGCCAGGAAUUGGACCCGAGUAACUAAAAGUUCAAUCGAGGAAUUAUGGCUCUUUUAGUUUCUGUAUAUACUUAACCUCUUUAACACACAUUCUUUGGCUCCGCCCUGAUAACAUCUUGUUAGAAACGAACGUCGGCUCCACCCGAUCGAGCUAGCCAAAAUUAUUAAAAUCUUCCACUUUCCUAAUCUUUAAAUCUCUUUACGUAGAACGAAAUAAUCAUCCAUUAUCUACAUCUACACAGACGAUGAGGAUUCUAUCAACAAAUUUAGACUAGACAACAAAGAUCUUAUACACCUACUGACUUAGUACAGUUCUAAACCGGAGCACAUACGAUAGAAGAUAAAGAUUGGUAUCUUGUGGCUCCAUAGAAACCUUUCCUUUAUUGUACUACUCGUAACUUGGACUGACACUCACUUAUUGGUGGUGGGGGAUUGAUUUUUUUUCAUUACUAUAACCGUAGAUAUAAUGGCUUUCAUGUCAUGUGUAUUCGAUAUAUAUGAAAGUCAAAAUGAUGACCCUUUCCGAACAAUGUGAAGUCAUAUGUGUUAUCAUGUACGAAAUUGGACAGUUUAUACAUAACAGUAUUUGUUUCUUUUUACAUAAACUAAACGGUACCUUGACCAACUUUAGCUUCUAUACCUGUUAUGUGUUUAGUUUAGUCGUAGUGUAGAAUUUGACUCCAUACAAAUACUAGUCAGACUUUGAGCUUAGCUAUCCGACUUAUAUGUGUUACUUUGUGUCCAAAAUCACUCUAAGAGUCUAAGUGUGUCCUUUCAACGAACCUUGAAAUUGACUUUUUUUAGUACAAUAAUAAAUCUGGGGAAACAUCACCUCGUAUACAUAUUACACUCUUCAUCUAUAUCCUAUUUGUAUAUCGAUCCUCAUAUUCCUAAAAAACGUGAACAGUCUCAUUUAUAUAAACUUAUCGAGAUGAAGAUUGAGUCGAUUGGUUAGUUGUAGUAUAUAAAUAAUCUUGACAGUAUUUGAGACUUCCAUAUAGGACAUCAUGAUUUUUUUUAAACGGAAGUCCUUAAAUCAGACGACGACACUUCAAGUUUCGUUAAAACAAGUAAGAGGCUGAGGACGUGAGAAAAGUUAACAGCACGUCUUUUUCCCCUAAACUUUUAUUUCGAAGGUACCGUACGUCUUUGUCUCGUACACCAACCUAGUUGUUAUCUUGUUGGAUGCCCCUAGUCCCUCCUCUCGUCGUCGGACGACGAAGAACCAAUGACGAGGGAGACAACUAGUCCCUCAUGAUGUGUAGAUAUGUCUCUUGUGUUUCUUGUCUUCCGACUACGUCACUACGAACGACGAAAGUUCCCCUAUGUAUGGAGACAACACCGUCGUCGGGAGACGAAGACGACGGGCAACGGCGACGACGGAGGGCGAAGACGGGAGACGACGACGACGGGCGACGGAGACGAACGGUGGCGACGACGACGAACAGUAACGAGGAACAGCGCUCGAGCUGCCGCAGGUACAUCCUCGAGGGGACGGGCGCGCAGCAGAGGCUGGGCGCACGGAGGAGGAGCAGGGACGCGUCGUUGUUGUCGAGGAGGUCCGGCGGGACGGAGAGAAGGAAGAGGGAAAGAGGAAGGAGGGGACCGAGAAGAAGAACAGAGAGAGAGAGUGUGGUUGAGUGAGAAAGAGACAAUGGAUGUCCUCCGGCUGCGGCUUGACGUUCGUCGGCGGCGGACCUCCAAGAGGCGGCGGCCUCGGGAGGAGGAGGAGCGGGUGCAGUGGCCGCAGGUAGGAGCAGCCUAAGCCAAGGCGGCCCUGAGGGACGCGGAGGCGGCGGAGCGGUUCAGGCAGACGACUUCGGCGGAGACAGGCGACGGACGAGCUGGGGGACGGAGCUGGUGUAGGCACGCGAACGCGUUCCCGACGUUGCGGGUCGUCGCGAAGCGCCGCAGGUACACGUCCCCGUUCGUCUCCAGCCGCGGCCGCUCGUCCGUCACCUCGCGCAGCUGCCUCGGUACCACCUCCAGUACCGCGGCUCGACGAGGUGGGUGGAACGCGGCUGCUCGUGCCCCCUCGAGUCCAAGAACCCUUACCUCUGCGUGGAUGUCCCCCGACCGCUACGGCCUCCGCCUCCUCUCCCCGCCCGUGGAAGGCGCGGCGGCUCGAGUAGCUGCUCUCGUCGGAGGGGGGAAGGUGGAAAAGACGGCGACCUAUUCUACUUGUUUCCUCGCACCCACUUUAACAAUGUUUUACGUCCCUAAUUAAACGUUUUUGCUUAGCAAAACGAUCUAGGUGAAUGUAUACCUGACGCCCAAGAUAAUAGAUUUUAGUAUCCCUGCAAAAACAUUUUGACAGUGCUG
rnacentral:rRNA from 1 species